rnacentral:rRNA from 1 species
UUAAGCGACUAAGCGUACACGGUGGAUGCCCUGGCAGUCAGAGGCGAUGAAGGACGUGCUAAUCUGCGAUAAGCGUCGGUAAGGUGAUAUGAACCGUUAUAACCGGCGAUUUCCGAAUGGGGAAACCCAGUGUGUUUCGACACACUAUCAUUAACUGAAUCCAUAGGUUAAUGAGGCGAACCGGGGGAACUGAAACAUCUAAGUACCCCGAGGAAAAGAAAUCAACCGAGAUUCCCCCAGUAGCGGCGAGCGAACGGGGAGCAGCCCAGAGCCUGAAUCAGUGUGUGUGUUAGUGGAAGCGUCUGGAAAGGCGCGCGAUACAGGGUGACAGCCCCGUACACAAAAAUGCACAUGCUGUGAGCUCGAUGAGUAGGGCGGGACACGUGGUAUCCUGUCUGAAUAUGGGGGGACCAUCCUCCAAGGCUAAAUACUCCUGACUGACCGAUAGUGAACCAGUACCGUGAGGGAAAGGCGAAAAGAACCCCGGCGAGGGGAGUGAAAAAGAACCUGAAACCGUGUACGUACAAGCAGUGGGAGCACGCUUCGGCGUGUGACUGCGUACCUUUUGUAUAAUGGGUCAGCGACUUAUAUUCUGUAGCAAGGUUAACCGAAUAGGGGAGCCGAAGGGAAACCGAGUCUUAACUGGGCGUUAAGUUGCAGGGUAUAGACCCGAAACCCGGUGAUCUAGCCAUGGGCAGGUUGAAGGUUGGGUAACACUAACUGGAGGACCGAACCGACUAAUGUUGAAAAAUUAGCGGAUGACUUGUGGCUGGGGGUGAAAGGCCAAUCAAACCGGGAGAUAGCUGGUUCUCCCCGAAAGCUAUUUAGGUAGCGCCUCGUGAAUUCAUCUCCGGGGGUAGAGCACUGUUUCGGCAAGGGGGUCAUCCCGACUUACCAACCCGAUGCAAACUGCGAAUACCGGAGAAUGUUAUCACGGGAGACACACGGCGGGUGCUAACGUCCGUCGUGAAGAGGGAAACAACCCAGACCGCCAGCUAAGGUCCCAAAGUCAUGGUUAAGUGGGAAACGAUGUGGGAAGGCCCAGACAGCCAGGAUGUUGGCUUAGAAGCAGCCAUCAUUUAAAGAAAGCGUAAUAGCUCACUGGUCGAGUCGGCCUGCGCGGAAGAUGUAACGGGGCUAAACCAUGCACCGAAGCUGCGGCAGCGACGCUUAUGCGUUGUUGGGUAGGGGAGCGUUCUGUAAGCCUGCGAAGGUGUGCUGUGAGGCAUGCUGGAGGUAUCAGAAGUGCGAAUGCUGACAUAAGUAACGAUAAAGCGGGUGAAAAGCCCGCUCGCCGGAAGACCAAGGGUUCCUGUCCAACGUUAAUCGGGGCAGGGUGAGUCGACCCCUAAGGCGAGGCCGAAAGGCGUAGUCGAUGGGAAACAGGUUAAUAUUCCUGUACUUGGUGUUACUGCGAAGGGGGGACGGAGAAGGCUAUGUUGGCCGGGCGACGGUUGUCCCGGUUUAAGCGUGUAGGCUGGUUUUCCAGGCAAAUCCGGAAAAUCAAGGCUGAGGCGUGAUGACGAGGCACUACGGUGCUGAAGCAACAAAUGCCCUGCUUCCAGGAAAAGCCUCUAAGCAUCAGGUAACAUCAAAUCGUACCCCAAACCGACACAGGUGGUCAGGUAGAGAAUACCAAGGCGCUUGAGAGAACUCGGGUGAAGGAACUAGGCAAAAUGGUGCCGUAACUUCGGGAGAAGGCACGCUGAUAUGUAGGUGAAGUCCCUCGCGGAUGGAGCUGAAAUCAGUCGAAGAUACCAGCUGGCUGCAACUGUUUAUUAAAAACACAGCACUGUGCAAACACGAAAGUGGACGUAUACGGUGUGACGCCUGCCCGGUGCCGGAAGGUUAAUUGAUGGGGUUAGCGCAAGCGAAGCUCUUGAUCGAAGCCCCGGUAAACGGCGGCCGUAACUAUAACGGUCCUAAGGUAGCGAAAUUCCUUGUCGGGUAAGUUCCGACCUGCACGAAUGGCGUAAUGAUGGCCAGGCUGUCUCCACCCGAGACUCAGUGAAAUUGAACUCGCUGUGAAGAUGCAGUGUACCCGCGGCAAGACGGAAAGACCCCGUGAACCUUUACUAUAGCUUGACACUGAACAUUGAGCCUUGAUGUGUAGGAUAGGUGGGAGGCUUAGAAGUGUGGACGCCAGUCUGCAUGGAGCCGACCUUGAAAUACCACCCUUUAAUGUUUGAUGUUCUAACGUUGACCCGUAAUCCGGGUUGCGGACAGUGUCUGGUGGGUAGUUUGACUGGGGCGGUCUCCUCCUAAAGAGUAACGGAGGAGCACGAAGGUUGGCUAAUCCUGGUCGGACAUCAGGAGGUUAGUGCAAUGGCAUAAGCCAGCUUGACUGCGAGCGUGACGGCGCGAGCAGGUGCGAAAGCAGGUCAUAGUGAUCCGGUGGUUCUGAAUGGAAGGGCCAUCGCUCAACGGAUAAAAGGUACUCCGGGGAUAACAGGCUGAUACCGCCCAAGAGUUCAUAUCGACGGCGGUGUUUGGCACCUCGAUGUCGGCUCAUCACAUCCUGGGGCUGAAGUAGGUCCCAAGGGUAUGGCUGUUCGCCAUUUAAAGUGGUACGCGAGCUGGGUUUAGAACGUCGUGAGACAGUUCGGUCCCUAUCUGCCGUGGGCGCUGGAGAACUGAGGGGGGCUGCUCCUAGUACGAGAGGACCGGAGUGGACGCAUCACUGGUGUUCGGGUUGUCAUGCCAAUGGCACUGCCCGGUAGCUAAAUGCGGAAGAGAUAAGUGCUGAAAGCAUCUAAGCACGAAACUUGCCCCGAGAUGAGUUCUCCCUGACUCCUUGAGAGUCCUGAAGGAACGUUGAAGACGACGACGUUGAUAGGCCGGGUGUGUAAGCGCAGCGAUGCGUUGAGCUAACCGGUACUAAUGAACCGUGAGGCUUAACCUU